rnacentral:rRNA from 1 species
GGUAGUGUAGUUAAUAGCUGCAUUAUUUGACGUUAGCGACAGAAGAAGCACCGGCUAACUCCGUGCCAGCAGCCGCGGUAAUACGGAGGGUGCGAGCGUUAAUCGGAAUUACUGGGCGUAAAGCGCAUGCAGGUGGUUUGUUAAGUUCAGAUGUGAAAGACCCGGGGCGUCAACCUCGGAAUAGCAUUUGAAACUAGGCAGACUAGAGUACUGUAGAGGGGGGUAGGAAUUUCAGGUGUAGCGGUGAAAUAGCGUAGAGAUCUGAAGGAAUACCGGUGGCGAAGGCGGCCCCCUCGGACAGAUACUGACACUCAGAUGCGAAAGCGUGGGGAGCAAACAGGAUUAGAUACCCUGGUAG